rnacentral:tRNA from 2 species
CAAAAUAAAGCUUUGUUAGAUAAGCAUUUCACUUACGUUGAAAAGUUAUUCCGUGCGAGUCGGUUUAUUUUGA